CCUCACUGAACCUAAAUUAAUUGGGUUACAUUGUAAACAUUUUUCAGAUGUCGUAUGUGAUCAGAAACAAUGCAUUAAUUUCCCAGAGUGGUCGCUCUGUGCUUUUGUAGUUGACGUCAAAAUGUAUGAUGGAAUAUAGAAUCCUAUGACGUAACCGAACUCAAGAAAAUGUUCAGUGCGCUACUUUUGCCUCAGUUGAGUUGAUGCUUUGCAAAGGACAGUCGUCCUCAUGUUCAAAUAAAUCACUUUGAGUGGACAAAGAAGACAUUCUGUGUCCAAUCUGAAGGGUGCCUGAAAGCACAAUGGAUAGAAAUCAUAAACCGUUGAGAAAAAUUAUUCUAAAAGCUGGGACCCUCCAAGCUAGUGCUGGAGAGCAGGUCCUCCAGACAGACAUCACUGACCAUGAUGGACUAAUGCUGCCAGCCCUGGUAGACUGCCCCAUUGACAGCCCUCUAAAGGCUAGGACCCUCCAAGCUAGUGCUAGAGAGCAAGUGCUCCAGACUGAUGUCCAUUCUGCUGGCCAUGAUGGACUAAGCCUGCCAGCCCUGGUAGACUGCAUCCAGGAUAGCCCUCGAAAGGCAGAUGUCCAUUCCGCUGGCCAUGAUGGACUAAGCCUGCCAGCCCUGGUA